GGUUCUGGCUCAGUGGUAGAGCGCUUGCCUACCAUGUGUGACGUGCUGAGUUUGAGUCUCAGCACCA
rnacentral:tRNA from 1 species